GACGAACGCUGGCGGCGUGCUUAACACAUGCAAGUCGAACGGAAAGGCCCUGCUUUUGUGGGGUGCUCGAGUGGCGAACGGGUGAGUAACACGUGAGUAACCUGCCCUUGACUUUGGGAUAACUUCAGGAAACUGGGGCUAAUACCGGAUAGGAGCUCCUGCUGCAUGGUGGGGGUUGGAAAGUUUCGGCGGUUGGGGAUGGACUCGGGGCUUAUCAGCUUGUUGGUGGGGUAGUGGCUUACCAAGGCUUUGACGGGUAGCCGGCCUGAGAGGGUGACCGGCCACAUUGGGGCUGAGAUACGGCCCAGACUCCUACGGGAGGCAGUAGUGGGGAAUAUUGCACAAUGGGCGGAAGCCUGAUGAAGCAACGCCGCGUGCGGGAUGACGGCCUUCGGGUUGUAAACCGCUUUCGCCUGUGACGAAGCGUGAGUGACGGUAAUGGGUAAAGAAGCACCGGCUAGCUACGUG
rnacentral:rRNA from 1 species